AGGGCCGUAGUGAAAUGGCAUCACAAAAGUCUCCAAAACUUUUAUUCCGCGUUCAAAUCGCGGCGGCCCUGCAA
rnacentral:tRNA from 1 species